CUUAUGUGGCAUACAGGUGGCUGUUACUGAGGAACGGAUUAGUAAAGCUGUGCUUUCUAAGAAUGAGAAAAUCAUUAUUCUUACUGUGUUGAAGCUCUUUGCCAUAAAAAAUUAACAUUACCAGUUACAAAAUUGAUUGACAUUUUAUUCUUCUCUCGCAUUAAGAACCUAGGUAUAAUCUGUCUCAAUCUUCAUCGUGCUGGCUUUUGCAUGCAAUUAUGGAAGUUACCUGCCAACGGAAAUAAAACUCCGGCCCGGUAGGGAUUAAAGUAUAUUAAGGACGGACUCUCAAAGGUGUUGGUAAUAAUUUUUUUCUGUUUAUUUAGCUUCUAGUUGUUUGUCUCAAUGGAUGCACGAGGACGCUGACGAUUAUUGCGCCUCAUGUUCAAAAUCGUUCGACUUUUAUCGAAGUAUAAAGAAAAUAGUUCAGCUUUUAAAUAAUAUUUCCUGCUGGGUGCGACUUAAUGUUCCGUGCAACCAUAUUUAGGCCGACGGCGUUGUUCCCAUCCGGAUCGAAUAAAUCACUUCUAAAAAAAUAUGCAGGAAAAAAAAGACGCGAAUUGCAAGCGCUGGCCCCAAACGAAGCCGCAACCAUCUGGUCUUCCGAUACACGAUUAUUAUUUGAAACCUACAGAAAUUUUUUUCGAAGCCAAUGCGGUUGCGUUUCGGAUCCGCCCGGAUUACGUUUCAAGAUUCCAGUAACCGGCGUUGCCAAAUUGACACACUGCCAAACAGGAAUUCCCGAAAACUGAUUACAUCAUUGGCCGCUGACAUGAUAUGUAAUCACCUAGCUAGAUUUUAUGAAAUUGUACGGGUAAACUAUAACAGUGGAUCCUAGAAAUUUAUUCGGUGUGAAUAUAUGCAGAGUUCAACAGCAAGCAAAAUGUCUCUGGUAAUUUUUCAUAUUCAUCAUUCGUCAUCCAUCAUUUAAUUCUUUAAUUGUUAAAUUAUUAUUAUUGCAUACGAUCCGUCUAUCCAUCACACUCUUCGCUUUUCUUUAAAUUAGAAGCUUACGAAGGGCAUAUUAAUAUGUAAGAAUGAAUCUUUCCAGUUGAAACUAUCCGUGGCAUUGUUAUAAAAACACUCUCUGUAACGCGGUAAAAAGUACAAAUAAUUUACGGCGUUGCCAUAAAUGUCAGUAUGCAAUUAUUUCAAAUAAAUUUCUUUCGAUGUCAUUCUGACUGUCAUUCUUCUCUGACGUUUUUUCUUUGGAAGUGCCUGAGGUUUGCCCUCAUCUGUAUGAUUUCCCAAGAGACUUACUUUCGAUAUGCUGAUAUUUAAUGCAGCACAAGUCCUCUGAAAAGAACCCAUAUUUACCAGUAAUUGCAAGGAAGUUGUCACAACGCUUAAUUGAAAGAAUUGUCAUCCGUUUCCGUUUCGUUGAACGUAUAACAGAAAAAAUUUACGGUAACUUAUAAUUAGUAAGAAAAUAAAUUUCUCUGUUUUAUUUUAUCGUAGGUAAUCCAAAUGGCAUAACAUUGUUAACGAAAAUUAAUGUAACGUAAAACGUAAUGGACUACCAUUUUACAACUGCGCUUGCUGAGAGAAAUAUUUAAAAAUUACAUGAGUCAGAUACAAUUUCUGCAACUUUAACAAAGCAAAAGCUGGAUCUCACAAAAACAAAUGAAAAUUCAACAAAGCCUUAUAAUCCUUUGCGCAGAUUUAACGAAAUAAAACUGGAAUCUCGCAAAACAUUGCAAC